GACAGAGGUGCCAAGCGUUAGGCAGAAUCACUGGGCUUAAAGCGUGUGUAGGCGGACUUCUAAGUACCUUGUGAAAUCCCACGGCUCAACCGUGGAACUGCUUGGUAUACUGGUUGUCUUGAGCCACUUAGGGGCUACCGGAACAAAUGGUGGAGCGGUGAAAUGCGUAGAUAUCAUUUGGAACGCCAAUGGUGAAAACAGGUAGCUGGGAGUGUGCUGACGCUGAGACACGAAAGCCAGGGGAGCGAACGGG
rnacentral:rRNA from 1 species